GUUACAGGUGUGAGCCACUGCACCCAGCCUAAAUGAGUGAGUCUUUAACCUUCCCUCUGGUUGACUUGGGUAGAACUCCAAGGAAUAUGAAAGUCAAUUCUUCUAAUAGAUGGUAAAUGAAGCCCUUUGGAUUUGAAUAAAGAGAAUGGUUCUCUCUCUCUUUCUCUUGACUUCACUCUCUCUUGCUCUCUCCUGCUCUCUCUCUCUCUCUCAUCCUCCCAGGAAGAGACAGAUUAGACUUAUUGGGAGGCUGGUAAGUUAUGCUUUAAUAUGUUAAGCUAGGUGGAAACACCAUUACUAGAAAAUAAUUUAGACCUUGGGCACCUUGGACUCAACAUGUGUUGUACUGAUGUUUUCCAGUGCCUUGGUGAUUCAUACAACUUUCUGGGAUCUUUUGAUUAACAGAGAAAAAGUCAUAAGAUCAGCAAGAAGAGAAACUGUAGAUUUGCCUCAACUCAACAUGUUAAGUAAUCGCCUGACAUCUACAUAAGACCACCUCUUGGCACCUGGCUACACAAGCUGAAAUGGUAAAACUCCUUGAGAAACCACACAAGGAUGGAAUACUUGCUUAGAGACAUGAGAGUAGCCUAGAAUCUAAGAAUCUGUACUUCCUUCUACAGUUGUCUUUGGAAAAAGAAUAGACAUUCAUGGCAGACCAAAGAUCACUCUCUGAAGAACAACUGUGAAGAUGAAAUGAAGUAAUAAUUUAAAUGAAUUAUAAAGAAAGACCAUUUUAUAAAUGUGAGAUGCCAUGUAAUGCCUUGACUUCCUUGACUUACUAUAAGGGGUGUUAUGUGAGAAAUCCACACAGGAGAAACCCAAGAAAACCACGCAGGUAAAUGCUAGCCUGGAAAGACAGAGGGAAAACAUGCCAAGUGGAGCCCACCACAAGGACAGCAGUCAGAGCCCAAGAGCCCAGCUUUAAAAGGCAUGUAUUCACUGAUGUGCUUUAAAAUCUGUAAUAAACUGCAGUAUACUCUGGUAGUGAGGAAGAGUUGAGGCACCUGGAGAACUGGAAGACUAUUUGAAGAAGAUGAUGAUACCUACUGAUCACAUGAGUCAAGACUUUGGAGUCUUGUCUGCGGAUUACAUGAGUGGCCUCCAAUGGUGAAGAUUUGAAUUCAAGGUUGCCAAGCAACAAUUUCAGAAGGGGCCUCCUUGCCUUUAGAAAAUAAAUGGGAAACUGGCUCAAGCUGCCUUUGUAUCUAUCUGUCUUGGGUAGCCUCAGCAGUAUGCAUUAGCUUGGGGGAGGAGUAAGAAAAUAGGAGAUAGUUUUAUUCCUAUUUGAAUUAACCCAUUUAUGCCAGAGGUCUCAAAUUUUUUUUGUGUG
rnacentral:lncRNA from 1 species